GGCUACAAUGUUUGUUACUUUUUCAACAACUCUAAGAAGAUACAUGAAAGAAAAUUACAAAAGAAUAUUAUAGCAUGAAAUGGAACUAAGAGACUACUAGCACAACACAUGGUUGUUAUUUUUCUGGACUAAAUUUCUUCAAAAUCAAAAUCUCAAUUUCUCAUAAUCUAUAGAAACAAAUAAAAACACUCUUUGAGCUCUGGAGUUUUUCUCCUAUGGUUUUGGUGGUAUUAUAAAUAUAUGGACUCCUCUUAUCCAAAGAGAUAUAAUCACAACUUUGUAUAUAGUUUCACCAUGUUUAUAGUGAAGUCUCCUUUGAAUACCAAAGCUUCUUUUGGCAAAUCAGUAUCUUCUCGUUCUGUCCGCUAUAUUCUGUCUCUUCUUCGUGACAGCUCCAUCUCAUUCCCUUAGCCAUAGGGGCAACGACAUCUAUGAAGUAACUAGAUUCCCGGAUAAUUGCAUAUCCAUUGGGUCGCAAAAUACGAUCCAUUUCUAGCAUAACAUACUUCAUUUCACAUCUAUGACUUUCAGCAGUGAAGAGAUUGUCAACAUGAAGGAGAUCAUAUGUUCGAGGAUAGGUCGAAAAAGCCUCACACCAGUCAUGAAACGUUCCGAUAAGACCUCUGUCGAAGACCACGGGGAGUGUAUUGGCAGCAUAAGAGGAGACCACAUUCAUGACCCAAAGUGGAUCCUCAACCAGAGCAGCAGCGAAACCUCCGUACAAGGUGUUCAUGUCCAUCACAUUCCUGACCUUUUCACUUCCAAUAGCAGGGAGCAACUUCUUGUAGUGCUUUGCUCGCACCUUCCACUUACUAUCGUCAUGCUUGAAGGCACCCUCGCUACCUCCACGAAUAUCAGAAACACGUUCUGGGGCGACAUGCAACCUUUCUGGCCAUUUGGCUAGGGCAUUCAACUUAACUUUCCUAGUAGCUGGAGGCACCACUACACAAGGUCGAAGAGGAGUGUACCACGCAGAAUCAGGUUCAGUACCAUCAUCACAUUUUGGUGGGUAGCUAUCAGAGUUAUCAAGUUUCUUAUAGCAGCUAUUGUCUGUCAACUUCUGCCACACGGCAAUGUCAUCCUUCUUGUUAUAUAAUUUGAAGCACAUUGAAGUUAGCAAAUCUUGCAACUUCUCGUAAUCUGAUCUCUGCUCCUCAAUGGUGGUGUUCCAUCCUCUCCAACGGUUCUCGUAGUUCACUGGUGGGCCAGAAAGGACCCAGAAACCUCCAGGACGCAGUAUACGAUGUACUUCAAGAAGGUAAACUCCACCAAAUUCAGUCCAUGGAAUUAGGCAUCUCGAGCAAUGAGCCAUGUCAAAAGAGUUUGAAGGGAAAGGAAGACGCUGUGUCGAAAUAAUUCCCAGAACUGCAGGAAUUCCACGUUCCAGAGCAAACUGAACUUGAGCUUCAUGAUUAUCUCUUGGAGCAAGAGAGACUGUCAGAAUUCCACGAUCUAGUAGAUCGCCUCCCCAGCUUGCCACCCCACAACCAGUAUCAAUGGCAGUUCGCACGGUGCCAUCUUUCAUUUCUGGAAUCAAAUCUUCCAUCAGAUCAACAUAUUUCCCAACACCAUUUGGGAACAUAGUACCUCCACCAGGAAAGCGGAAUUUCUCCCCCUCUUUCCUCAGCCAAUUCUGAUUAGAUUUCUGCUUGUUGAUCCAAUCAUAUGGCACAUUCCUGAAACCAGAUCAACAAGGUAAAAGUAAGCAAUAUUUGCAAAAGCAGAAAUUGAAACCUAACAAAUCAAGCUAACAAGUCCCUUUGAUACCAAGGAACAAACAAGAGAAAAAGAGCAUAAUACCUGUACCAACAUUCGUCCCUGCUCUUUGGCCAUCUGAUUGGUGGCUUGUACCCAUCUGGUGGUGGAACUAAACAUUCCUUCCUUUCAAAUGCUGGAGGACAGUGACGUUCCAUGAAAGUAAGCCGCUGAACACCAUACUUCUUCCACCUCCUUGGAUCUGUACACGGAGUGUAAUCUUGAUAGUCACUGCUGCAUUCAGGUAAGGCCGUGGAUUUAAUUUGGAGAGGAGCAACCACUGAUUCCUUGGGAGAUGAGACUGCCUUUGUGACAUCCUUGACCUCAAUUCUGUUUCUCUCAGAACAGAAAAUUCCACCAAGAUAGAAGGAAAACCCGCAUAGUACAGCAAACAUUAUUGUUAUGAGAACAACCCGGGACCUUCUAUCAGGUUGAGAACCCGGUUUUCCAUCCUUAUGCUUCAUGAUUCUAUAAACAAACAACUAUCUGCCAAAUAUGCAAAAUGUAAGCAACAACAAAACAGAUUAAUUUUUGUCUAAUAAUAUUAGCACAAUUUAUUAUCCAUCCAAUAACAGAAUCCAAUCUAAGCCUCAAUCACAGUAAAGAUCAUCAUACAAGAAGAAGACCCAAAAAUAAAAAUAUCAACACCUAAUACAAACAAACAGUCAUAUUUCUAAUCUCCAUACCUAAGCUGUCUCAAAUAUCCAAUUGAGCAUCAAGAAUUAAAUAUAGUAAAUAGAAUACACUAAAAGUGAUCACUUAAUAUUACACAUUUCGAUUUUCCUACAUCCUAGUGCAAAGCUAUCAACUAGAUCCAGUAAAGCAGAAUGGCAUAGAAAUUGACGAAAGAUGAUGAAUUCAAGAAACCUCAGAUUUUUUGGAAUUAUAGCAAAUCCCAGAAGAGAAAAAUAGAGAAAAACAAGUGAUUGAUAGAGACGCAAUGACAACAGAGAACCAUUAAAAAUUCUUGGAAAGAAAAUAGAGGUAAACAAGAAGAUCUGACAGCAACUACGACAUGUAGUUUCACUUGCCAAGUUACUUAGCUUUCACUUUUUUCUCACAUGGAAAUGGGACCCAACUCCAUCAAACCCUGCCGUCCUCAUUAUGUCUCAUUCUCUC
rnacentral:misc_RNA from 1 species